CAACGCGUUCUCGGGACGAGAACGGAUUGGCGGGGGAGGAUGUCACAAGGUGACGAUCUCUUGGGCGGAACCAAAAGUCGGGAAACUUUGGUUCCGCCCGGAUGUUUCCGCCCAGACCGAAGAACGGAAACACCGGACAUCCGGCAGAUUCGCGGAGGCUGUAAUCAGCCGAUUGGGCACAGCUGUGCCUAGUUGAAGAGAUCGCUGGGCAAUUGGAUGACUGAAGUACAGAGAGGAGUAUAUAAAGCACAGUUAGAUCACAGUUCGGGUGGUCGGGCACGAGAGGGGGAUUGACACGGGGAGAGCUCCUCUGCUUAGGGCAGGAGAGGUAACUACGUACCUUUUGAAGAGCCCGCAGGCUCUGUUGAUCCGGGCUGCGCUUGAAGCGCGCGGAAAGAAGACAGGAGCUGCCUGGGGUGAAAGAAAGGCGAUACGUGAGUGGAGAAAAGGAGCACCCCGAAGAGAGCAUUGUGCUGUCAAGCCUGUGCUUAGUGUGUGCUGGGAAACGGAGCUGUGCUCGUUUUUGGACGUGGUGGCUGUCUGUGGUUCUCUCUCUCUCUCGUUGCAGUUUUGAUUGUGGACCUGCUGGAGUGAACAGGAAAAUCCUAUGGGUCGAAAGGAACUUGUUUUAAUCAAUACUGAAGGAGUAAAGCAGGAAGAAAAUUGACCUUCUGGUACAACGUAAACAAAGGCUAUUCGCCGUGAGUAUACCCUUUUUGUGUGGAGUAACUGGCAAAAGUUAACUUGUAUAACUAUUGGAAACCUCCAGGAGAAGGAGGGCGGCCCUACCCCUAUAAGAGUGUGGUGGGCGAGCCGUGAGAAGUCCAACUUCAAACAGCCACCGCAACGAGACUUAUUGUGGUCGUAUUUCCCAUCGCCUUAUCGUAGCCCAAGCGCAGUGGAGGACACCGGGCGCUUCCCUUGUUGUGGUGCACUUCUAGUGUGGUGAGUGAGACUGUGUAAUAAAUCUUUUUCACGUUUGGAGUGGUGCUGUGUAUUGCUGUGGGUUGCUGUGUGUCUUGUAGACGAAGCCCCGCAUUAUCCAUUUUCUUCCACUGGGCAGAGGACGGAGAGGCCAACGACUACAGAAACCACUGUUACUAUAAAUAGUGUGCUGUUUGGAGUACGAAGGGACGCAGACUAAGAGCUGUCCGUGACCGUGAGUAAACCAUUGGAAACAUUCGUGGUGUGAACUUACCUGUGUCUGUUUUGCCGCAGAGUCAGAGGCGAAAGGGUCCGCCGCCCCGUGGUCUCUACGAAAAGGGCGCCCCCGUCUAGGAAUCGAUCGGCCUAUGGGCAUUGGAGAUAGGGCAGCGCUCGACCCGGUGAGGUGGUGUGUGACCUUCGCCCCUCUGCUGACCUACGGAGGAGAACCAUACUUACCCAGAAAGCUGUAAACAGCAGAGCCGCGGCCACCUGUGGAGAGAGAGCAGAACGAGAGUGAAUAAUAGAAGAACAAACUGUGAACGUGAUACCUACCCAGAAAGCUGUAAACAGCAGAGCCGGUGAGAAAUACUCGAAGUCUCAGUAACAGUGUCUUUGUGUCCUAGCGGCCACCUGUGGAGAGAGAGCAGAACGAGAGUGAAUAAUCGAAGAACAAACUGUGAACGUGAUACCUACCCAGAAAGCUGUAAACAGCAGAGGAGGCGAGAAAUACUCGGAGUCUCAGUAACAGUGUCUUUGUGUCCUAGUGGCCUCCUGUGGAGAGAACGGAAAACGAGAAGGAACAUGAGGAGAAUGGACUGUGUGAAGAUACAGUGGUGGUGGAGGAGAGCCUAGAGUGGCCAUUGUUUUAAGUCCCCCGUUUCCCCUUCCCUAUUUAAUAUUUUUAAGUAAUUUAAUAAAGGAUAUUUUAAUUUUA